rnacentral:rRNA from 1 species
CCUACGGGCGGCAGCAGUGAGGAAUAUUGGUCAAUGGACGCAAGUCUGAACCAGCCAUGCCGCGUGCGGGACGACGGCUCUACGAGUUGUAAACUGCUUUUGUACCGGGGUAAAAUGCUCUACGAGUAGGGUUUUGCAAGUACGGUGCGAAUAAGGAUCGGCUAACUCCGUGCCAGCAGCCGCGGUAAUACGGAGGAUCCGAGCGUUAUCCGGAUUCAUUGGGUUUAAAGGGUGCGUAGGUUGGUGUAUAAGUUAGCGGUGAAAUACCGAUGCUCAACAUCGGGGCUGCCGUUGAUACUGUAGGACUAGAGAUCGGAUGCAGCAGGCGGAAUGUGUAGUGUAGCGGUGAAAUGCAUAGAUAUUACACAGAACACCGAUUGCGAAGGCAGCUUGCUAGGCCGGAUCUGACACUGAUGCACGAAAGCGUGGGGAUCGAACAGGAUUAGAUACCCGAGUAGUC